rnacentral:rRNA from 1 species
UACGUAGGUGGCAAGCGUUGUCCGGAUUUACUGGGCGUAAAGAGCGCGCAGGCGGUCGUUCAAGUCGAGUGUGAAAGCCCCCGGCUCAACCCUGGAAAGCCGGUGGAUACUGUCGGGCUAGAGUCCGGAAGAGGCGAGUGGAAUUCCUGGUGUAGCGGUGAAAUGCGCAGAUAUCAGGAGGAACACCAAUGGCGAAGGCAGCUCGCUGGGACGGUACUGACGCUGAGACGCGAAAGCGUGGGGAGCAAACAGG